CCUACGGGAGGCUGCAGUGGGGAAUAUUGGACAAUGGGGGCAACCCUGAUCCAGCAAUUCUGUGUGCACGAAGACGGUUUUCGGAUUGUAAAGUGCUUUCAGCAGGGAAGAAGGAAGUGACGGUACCUGCAGAAGAAGCGACGGCUAAAUACGUGCCAGCAGCCGCGGUAAUACGUAUGUCACAAGCGUUAUCCGGAUUUAUUGGGCGUAAAGCGCGUCUAGGUGGUUAUGUAAGUCUGAUGUGAAAAUGCAGGGCUCAACCGCAAGCCUGCCCUGGAAACUAUGCGGCUAGAGUACUGGAGAGGUGGACGGAACUGCACGAGUAGAGGUGAAAUUCGUAGAUAUGUGCAGGAAUGCCGAUGAUGAAGAUAGUUCACUGGACGGUAACUGACGCUGAAGUGU
rnacentral:rRNA from 1 species